AAGGAUAAGCUCUUCAUCCUCACCAUCCGAGAGAGGGUUUACGGAUUGGAGCUCAUAUAAAAAGGAACAAGAAUCAGCAGCCGCAAGAGGAGGGGAGAUAGAGAGCACGGCUGGAAAAAUUCUGAGGCAAAACAGAAAUCAGAGAGAAUAGGCAUCAAGGAUGGCUGCAAAACUUAAGGAAAAACAGAGGAAGGAAAUGGAGGAGCUGGGUUUCGGGCAGACAAAGGAGAAGAAAUAAGAAAGGGGGAGGAAAAGAGUGGAACGGCAAAAAGAAAAGGAGAAGAAAGAGAGAGGCGACGGACAGCAAAGAAAAACAAGAGAGCUAACGGCUGAGUGAGUAAAAGGGAGAGCUUUGAGAGUUUUGGAAGGAGGUGACGGCUGAAAUCUGGAAAAAGAAAGGAAAGCCAGAGAAAGGAGUGGACGGCUGGUGAGGAAGAAGGCUAGAGUUUUGAGAGAGGUGGGCUGUGAGGAACAGAAAACUGGAGAGCUUUCGGGCAGAGUAAGGAACCGUGAGUGAAGGAAAGCCAGACAGAGAGAAACUAGAACAAGGAGAAGAGGAUCUGCGGCCCAUUGCCCUCAGAUUGUGGUGGAUUCCAGUCAGUUACUCCAAAGUCCUAUCAAAAUCCAGUUCUUGUAGCAGCAAAACAGGUAAUCCUCAACCUCUUCCCGUAUGAAAAAUCCAGUUCUUGCAUGAUUGUGUUUUGGCCGAGAGAAAAUGGUUAAAGUUUCCAACUUUGGUUGGUGGUUCGUCUUAGGUUGAGUUUUGGGUUGCAAGACUAGAUUUUUCUUGUAAGUUAGUGUCAUAGAUUCUCAUUUUAAGUAUUGCUGCUGUCCAUGUGAGGAACAAGAACCAAACCAGAAAAUGGAGUGCUUCUUCGGCAAGUUGAAUUUCUGACUUUUAAUUCGUUGAUUUCCUUUUUCGUUCUGUGAGUUUGUAAGCUGUUUUUGGGUAGUUAUAGGUAUAAAAUGCAUGUUUUGUAUGUUUGGGGGCUGAAACACUUGAAUUAAGAUCAAAUGCUUGCUGAAAAUGAUCAUUUCAGGUUGCUGAACCACCUUUGCACACAUAUUUUUCCAGAAUUUUUUGCAUGGCUUCAGUCUGGUUUUUGUUCGUCUGGAUUGGGGUGGUUGUAUAGUUACUUGCGUAGUUUAAAGCUGUGAUGUUGGGGUUGAAGGGUAUCUAAUCAAAGUCGUGUGUUUGAAUUGGAAAUUUGAGUUAGGAAACAAAAAAAAAUGCAGCAGGCUUCACUUUUGGCUGCUGAAUUUUUUCGAGUGUUUGAAUUACUUAGUUUGCUGGUUAUUUGGAAUAUUUUGAGAGGUGUUUAACGUGGUUUUGAGUGAAGUUGAUUUGAAGUUUUAAAUGAACUUGGUUUUGCCGAAAGUUUACAUGCAAGGAUAGAAAGUCAUGGCUGAAAAUUGCAGAAGCCAAAUCCGCAAGUCUGUUGAAAGGUUCAAGCAGUUUGCAUGUUUUUCCAUGCUCAUGGUUCAUUGUACCAUGGCAUUUAUGUGUGUUUUGAAGUAAUGAUUUUGUUAGGUGAAAGGUUUGGUUAAAGAUGAGGUGCUAAAGUCCAAAGUUUGUGUUUGAAAAUGCAGCAAAUUAGUACAGAAGCCUAAGCUGCCACAAUUUUUCUGUGAUGUUUUCUUCUCUGUGUUUGAUUUGUUGAGUUUUCCUACUUAACCUGCAUGCCUAAUCUUAUGUUUGAAUGGAAGAAAAGAAGGUUUGGUGUUGAGUUUGCAUUCUUUGAAUCACAGGAAAUGUAAACUAGCUUGAAUGUUGGCCAAGUAAAAUAGAUUUCCCUAAAAAUUCUGAAUGGUGGGUGAGUUGUCUUGAACCAAUCUGAAUCAUGAGUUGGUUUCUCAUUCCAGAUUUCUCUUUGUUUUUUUUUAUGCAUAAAAGGUGUUUUUAAGAAUGAGUUUGCAACCUUUAGCGAGUGCUAGGAAGCUGGAUUUUCUUCUUGGUUAAAAUCUUUUCUCUUGCCGCAUAAGGCUGCUGAAGUUCCAAAGUCUCGGCUGACUCUCUUUGGCUGCAGAAAUGUUUCCUAAGCUUUGCAUGAAGUCACCUGAACUGUUCAGAUUUUGCAUGUCUGUUGGCUGACCUUUGGUGUUAAAUUUAUAAGUUUCAUGAUGCAAAAUGAGUGGAAUGUAUGGUAGUUUUUUUUGUUUGGAUUUAAUUGAGUUUGAAAGCUGUUAAUGCCGAAUUGAGGGAAGCUUUCAUCAGAAUUCUUGUUGCAGGCAAUGUUUACGUAGCUUUGCAUGGUUUUGCAUGAAACUAUUUUUGAAAAUUUCACUUUAACCCCCCAAGUCUCCCCUUGUUCUACUAUGACCCACAAAUUUGAGAAAGCUAAUCAAUUGGGUCCCUGUGAUUUUUGUAGCAAUGCAUUAUGGCCCAAUUACAUUCCAAUGUCUUGCAAUUAGGUUCUAAGGUGUUUGCAUUUGAAUCAUUAAUUGAUCUUUAUUAUUUUUGGGACCUUUGAAGCUCUUUGAUGAUUCAUUUUGACGUUGAUUGUGAUUGAUUAGUGGUCGUUAUUGGGUCCUAGAAAUGCAAGUUUAAACCAUUCAUGGACUUUCAUUCACUCUUGGAUUCUUGAGAUAUGAUGUUUGCUUGGAUUUUAAUUUUUACUUGGGGACCUUUGAGUUUUUAAAUGCUUCAAUUAGGUUCAAAUGAUUUGAGUAGUGCUUGCAUUUGGGUUUUUAGUAGAUGUUAUGCUUGGGGAUUGGAUGAUCAUGCUUUUUGCCUUGGUCUUUAAGUAGUUUUGACUUCAUUGAGUUGCAAUUGAGGGAAAGUUUGAUGUUUGGUGGAUUCAAAUUGUUUAGUUUAUAUCUUAUCAUUAAAUUGGUGCAUUAAUCUUUUGUUUUUGGUGAUUUUAGCCUAAAUUAGUCUUUUCUUGGGUGACUCUAGCCAAGUUGAGUUUGUUUACUUCCUUAGUAUCACCAACGGGGCGGUAUAAUCUCUUUUACCCCUUUUGUUUCUCUCCUAUGUGGACUAAUGUGCUAAUUGAAAUUUGCAUGUCUACUUGCUUUCCUAGCCUCUCCUUAUUUCCUUUCAGUUAUUUCAUUUACUUUUGAUUUUUAUUAAUGGGGUAUGUGUACACCUCUUGGCUUGUAAUAGAUAGGGCGUAGCAAGUAAUUUGGUCCAUUUUUCCUUUCCCUUUUGUUUUAGUUAGCAAAUGUAAUGGUUGCAUGCCUAUGUGUUAUAUGUUAAAUGCUUUAUUAGGAUUUUGCAUCUAGUCAAGCAUGCUAAGUGUUAUGUGCUACGUGUUUAUAAGUGAUUCGCAUGUCUACUCGCUUUUUAUAGUGUGGAUGAAUGGAAUGGAUGAAUGUACGUCACCACACUAGUCCAACGCUAGUUGUGGCUUCUUUUAUCGUUUCCACUAGUCCAACGCUAGUCGGAAUUCAUAGGAGGGGCUAGUCCAAUGCUAGACCCAAUAGGUUUUUUUUUCCUUUUUCAUGAAGUGCAUGAUCACCACAUAUCACGCAUUUUUCCUUAGUUUAUCAUUUGGUAUGUUCCUCAAACCCCUUCCCCUUCACUUUAGGACUUGCAUCUCAUGCUAGUUAGGGUUCAUUUGCGUGAAAAUCCCCUCUUGAUAAGGGAAACGAGCGAGUGUGGCUACUCGAUAGCCUUAGCACGCUAGUUUCGCCUUCUAAUCAAAGGGAAAAUCGAAGUCGAAAAGUUAGGAGUCAACCCCCGUACCCGACUUGUUGCAUUCCUCUAGGGUCAUACUUUCAUUUUUAUCACCUACAUACUCUUUUAACCACAUUUUUUCACAUUUCUCAAAACCAUCCUUUCUCACUACAUUUUUCCUAUCACGUGCUCAUUUUCACCUCACAAAUGGAAUUCCACUUUACCUUAUAUAUCUAUUAUUCUAUUUUCACACACUUGCACACAAGAAACACUCAAAUUUUAUACAAUUUCACACAUGCACCUUUUUAUACAUUCGAACACUUGCACUUACAUUUCUUGCAUCUUUCAUACACUUUCACACUUGCACACUUGAAUUUGAACUCUCACUUGGAUUAAUCGACCUCUAUGAGGUUUUCCUUUGUUGGCCGCCACAAUUCAUGUGGUUUUGGACCAAAAGCCUCACAAGAGACAUCGUAGAAUUUAGGAUUGCAUUUUCCUUUCCGUUUUGCAUUCAUAUAGUCAUAUCCAACGUGCGAUACAUACAUUGGGUAGAAGAUUAGGAAAGGUAAGGUUAAGUCGCGCAACUAGCCUUGGCUAGGUCAAAGGGGUGCCUUGGAUUCUAUCCUUGCCUUCCCCUUUGUCAAACGUGACUCCCGAACCUUUUUCUUUGGCUUACGUGGACUAGGAGUCGUUUUAAAAGGGUUUUACUACUUUGUCUUUAAAAAUUUAUUUUUCAGGUGACUUGGUACACCUUAAUCAUUACCAAGUGGCGACUCCAAUUUCUCAUUCAAAAACCCUUUUUAAAACACUAUUUUGGGUCAAAUCGUCGCUUUUUCAAGUCCCAUAUUAGACCCCAUAUCUUUUUCAACUCACAAAAAUCAUUUUCCAAUCACAAUUGAAUCAAACACAUCUUUCUCAAACCAUUUUUAUUUAUUUAUUUUUCUUAUCAAAAAAUGGGGCGCGACAGUAAGGGUGACCUCCACUCUACUGGAACGUAUAAAAGAGGCGCAAGGCAAGGAUUUGAUGGUACAGAAGUGGAGAGAGAAAGUGGAAAAGGGAGAAACAACGGACUUCAAUCUGAGUCCUGAGGGUAUGUUGCAAUAUCGAGAUCGAAUAGUGGUACCAAAGGAGGAAUCGUUGAAAGCAGAAAUUUUGGAGGAAGCUCAUAGGUCCAAGUAUACAAUCCAUCCGGGCAGCAGCAAGAUGUAUCAAGACCUAAAAGGAACCUAUUGGUGGGACAACAUGAAGAGGGAAAUCGUUCAAUACGUGCAGAAAUGUCUCAUUUGCAGCAAGUGAAGGCAGAGCAUCAAAAACCAUCGGUUGUUACAACCCUUGGAGAUACCCGAGUGGAAGUGGGAAAACAUCACCAUGGACUUCGUUUCAAGUUUACCGAGGACGCAAAGAGGAAACGAUGCCGUUUGGGUGAUCGUUGAUCGAUUAACCAAGUCGGCCCAUUUCUUGCCGGUAAACAUGAAGUAUUCAAUGGACAAAUUGACCCGAUUGUACAUGGAUGAAAUUGUAAGGCUACACGGAGUGCCUGUGAGCAUCGUCUCUGAUCGGAGAUCCACGAUUUGUAUCACGGUUUUGGCAGAAGUUUCAAGAAACCCUGGGACGAAAACUCAAUUUGAGCACUACCUAUCACCCUCAGACGGAUGGCCAGUCGGAACGGACGAUUCAGACUCUUGAGGAUAUGCUACGAACCUGUAUUCUGGACUUUAGAGGCAAUUGGGGUCAGCACAUGACCUUGGUAGAAUUUGCGUACAACAAUAGCUUCCAUUCGUCAAUUCAAAUGGCUCCGUAUGAAGCUCUCUACGGACGCAAGUGCCGCUCACCGAUUUAUUGGGAUGAAGUAGGUGAAAAGAAAGCACUGAAUCCGCAACCAUUCCAUGGAUGGAAGAGGCUCAGGAAAAGGUCAAGUUGAUACGACAACGACUUCAAACCGCCCAAAGUCGUCAAAAGAGCUACGCGGAUAACCGAAGAAAAGAUUUGGAAUUUGAAGUUGGAGAUUAUGUAUUUCUCAAAAUCACACACCUUACGAAGUCUUACAACGGGCAAAGAAAGAAACUUCAACCGCGGUACGUCGGACCCUAUAAGAUCCUUCAAAGGGUUGGAGUGGUCGCGUAUCGAUUGGAACUACCAUCCAGUCUAUCUCGAAUCCACGACGUAUUUCACGUCUCGAUGCUAAAGAAGUACCAUCCUGACCCAUCUCAUGUUUUACAACCGGAGGAUAUCGAAGUAGAUGAAUCACUGGCCUAUGAAGAGAAACCGGUUCAAGUACUCGAUCGAAAAAUCAAAGAGCUCCGAAACAAACGGAUUCCACUAGUGAAGGUGCUAUGGAGAAACCACGGAGUUGAGGAAGCCACCUGGGAGAUGGAAGAGGAAAUGCGAAAGAAAUACCCAAACCUUUUCGGGAAUUAAGGUGAGAAAUUUCGAGGACGAAAUUCUUUUAAGGGGGGGAGAGUGUGAGAACCCGUAAAACCCUAAUUAUUUUUCUAGGGUUUAUUUCCCUUAAUUGCAUGUUUUCUGCAUUUUCUGGCUUAGAGAUAUUUUCUUAGUGGAUUUUAUGAGCAAUUAUAGUUUUAAGAUGAUUUUUCUAGCAUUGGGGAAAUUUUAGGAAAUUAAGAGUAAAUAGUGGACGUGGGACCCACUAGUGCGAAAAGUUCGGAAAAAUUCGGCCGAUAAGGUUAAGUUUCGGAUACUGUUUAAAAUUUAUCGGGUGUUAAGAGAUAAGUAGUGUGUGUGAAGUGAUUGAUGUGAGAGAGAAAAGAAAGAUAAGAAUGCAUUUAUGAAGGUGACAAGUGUCACCUUCUUAUUGGAUGCCUUUUAAGAAUUACUAUUCACAAUUUUGACUUUUUUGACCAAAGGUUAAAUAUCCAAAAAUUGCACAAAAUUCACCAUUUUUUCCUCCUUAUGGCCGGCCCUCUCUAAGCAAGAAGAAAGACAAAACUCUUCAACAUUCUAGCAAACUUCUAGCUCAAAUCAACUAAAUCACUUGCUUAACUUGGUUUUCACUCCAUUAAAUUUUUCCUUCUAGUGCUAGUAAGUUGUUUGGUGAACUUUGUUUGAAGGACUAAGGUGCACAACAUCUUUCUCUCUUUUGGUUUGUGGUAAGUGAAGCUUGAAACAUCCUACUACACCUAAUGAUGCUUAUUGUAGACACCAAAUUUUAAAUAAUUUUGUAUGUUGCAUCUAAUUCAUGAUUUUUGUUGCAGAUUGUCUGCAUUCUAGUUCGUUAUUGUUUGUUUCUCAUUUUUAGUGGUUAUUUUAUUUUAGUUCAUUUUUGGCCCUUUUAGUUGAUCUAUUUCAUUUGUCAUUUAUUCUUGUUUGUCUUUUUAGUUUUAUUUACUUUUAGUUUUAGUUUUAGUUUUAGUUUUUAAAUUUUAAGAUUAGCAUAGAGUUGCUAGAGAAAAAAGGAAAACAUUCAAAAAAUAUAUGUUUUAGUCAUUUUUGUUUUUAUUUAAUGCUUUCUUGAUAAAAAAAAAGAUUAUGAAAAUCAUGAAAAAAAAAGAAAAAAACAGGCAAAAACAUUCAAAAAAUAGGUUUUUUUUUUUGGGAAAAACAAUGGAAAAGAAAGAAAAAGAAAGAAAAAGAAAUUUGCUCACAAAGUAUGUUUAUUUCUUUUAAAUUCAACUUUUUGGCAUUUUAUUUUAUUAAGUUAUUUGAAAAAAGUGAAAAAAUGAGAAAAAUGAAAAAAAUGGAAAGUUGCGUUUUUGUUGUUUCUAGUUUAUUUUUCUAAUGUUAAUUAAGUUGUUUUUGUUAUUAAUUAUUAUUGUUAUCAUUUUUUGUUGUUUAAUUAAUUAAUUUUUUUCAAAAAAAAAUAAAUAAAUAAAUUUACCGCAGCAUGCACGCUGCAAUUUUUUGCAGCGUGCAAGGCACAACCUCAAUAGACAUCGGAUGGCUGGAUGGAAAGGGAAGGACAAGCCUUCAUCCUCACCAUUGGGGUGAGGGUUUAGGAACCUUGGAGUUCCAUAUAAAAGGGAAGAGAAGGCUCAGCCGUGAAGGGAGAGGAAGAAAAUUUGGAGCUGACGGCUAAGAGAAAACUAGAGAGAACUGGAGUUGGAGGUGGAGUGAAAGAAAGGCUGAGAGAGUGAAAAAGGAGAGAUCGAGAGAGGAGCAUACGGAGGAGAGAGAAAGAGUGAACGGCAAAAGUAAAAAGAGAGGUUUUUCAUCAAGAAAAAGGGGUACGGCUGUAGAAAAUUUCAAGGAAGCUGCGGAGCUUGAAAGGUGACGGUUGAGAAUAGAACAGAGAGAGAGGAGAGAGAUUUCUGGGUUGACAUCUGAACCAAUAGAAAGGGACGACGGCUACAAAAGAAAAGAUUGAAAUCUGGAAGCAAGGAGGGGAAACGCAGCGAGAGAAGAUUGAAAAGAGAGGGUUUUCAAAAUUCGGCUGAGGAAGAAAGCUUUGGAUAGGAGAAGAUCCAGCUGUCGCAGUAGCAAAAACAGGUAACCCUUGAUCCAUUUCUGGUCAUAUUGCUUUCUAUAUGAAGAUCAUGAGGAUAGCUAAAAAAUUUGAAGAAAGCUUUUGACUUUGUGUGAUUUAUAUCUGAGUUUGGGGUGGGGGGUUGAUAUUUUACAUAUGGGUGUUUUGGCCGAGAGAAGAUGGUUAAAGUUUCCAACUUUGGUUGGUGGUUUAGGUUGAAUUUUGAGUUGCAAGUCUAGAUUUUUCUUGUAAGUUAGUGUCAUAGAUUCUUAUUUUGAGUAUUGCUGCUGUCCAUGUGAGGAACAAGAACCAAACCAGAAAAAUGGCGUGCUUCUUCGGCAAGUUGAAUUUCUGACUUUUAAUUCAUUGAUUUCCCUUUUCGUUCUGUGAGUUUGUAUGCUGUUUUUGGGUAGUUAUAGGUAUAAAAUGCAUGUUUUGUAUGUUUGGGGGCUGAAAUACCUGAAUUGAGAUCCAAUGCUUGCUGGGUAAUGAAUGAAAUCUGCUUGUUGGUUUUGCUAGAUUCCUGUGUUGCACGCAUGCUUUCCAGAAUCCUUCUGUGAUAUUUUUCUGAGUUGCCUGCUUGUUUGGAUCAUGGUGGUGGUGUAGUUAGUGGCUUGGUUUAGGAUUGUGAUGUUGAGUUUAAAAACAUCUAAUCAAAGUUGAGAUAAAAAUCUGAAUCUGUAGGAAAAUUGGCAGCAGCUUUCAAAAGUCAAAUGUUUGCAUGUUUUUCCAAAUUUUUUUUUUAUAUAAUAUUUUGCUAAAUUUUUUUAGCCUGUUUAGAUGCUCAACUUCUUGAUUUGGUUGCUUAGUUUAAAGUUUUGAUGUUUGGUGGAUCAAGUUUUGAUCAAAGUUGUAUUAGAUUCUGAAGUUCAUGUUCGAAGAUGAAAUGCAGCAGGCUUGCACCUUUGACUGCCGAAGUUCUUUUGGUGUUGUUUGAAAUGUUUGCUUUGUCCGUUGUGAAAGUGUUGGGAAGCUUAGCAAUAGGAGCCAGCAGGUUGCUUGGCCUGUGGUUGUCAAAAUAAAAAAUCUUGUUGCGGUUUCCUUUCCUUCUUUUGUUACUGAUCAAAACAGAUUUGCUGUCUUAAUCUUGCAAACAAGUUUUAUGUUUUGAUUUGGGUCAAUAAUUUAUGGGUUGAUGAUCUUGUUUGUUUGAUGAAAUGGAGGUAGUUGCACCUGGAAAUUACUGAAGUUUUUGAAAACAAAAGGGCCGCAAGCUUCAUUCUCUAUGUUUAGUUGCUGAAGUUCUCAAACUUUGGCUGGCUGCUGAAAAUCUGUUUUGAAGCCAUGCGUUCCUUGAUGCAAAAUGAAAGGAUUGUGUGUUUGUUUGCUGGGAUCUAAUGUUAUUUGAAAGCUGAUUUUGGUGAAGUGAUGGUUGCAGAAGCUCUUUGUCUACGUAGCUUGCAUGAAGAUUGCAUGAAUAUUUUCCAGAAAAAUUACAGUCCAACCCCCCAAGUUUUCCUUUGCUUCACUAUGACCAACAAAUAGAAUAAUUUCUUCAAUUGGAUCCUGUGAUUUUUGCAGCAAUGCAUUAUGGCCCAAUUACAUUCCAUGUUCUUGCAAUUAGGUCCUAAGGUGUUUGCAUUUGAAUCAUUAAUUGAUCUUUAUUAUUUUGGGGACCUUUGAAGCUCUUUGAUGAUUCAUUUUGACGUUGAUUGUGAUUGAUUAGUGGUCAUUAUUGGGUCCUAGAAAUGCAAGUUUAAACCAUUCAUGGACCUUCAUUCUAUUGGAUUCUUGAGAUAUAAUGUUUGCUUGGACUUUAUUUUUUUACUUGGGGACCUUUGAGUUUUUUAAAUGCUUCAAUUAGGUUCAAUGAUUUGAGUAGUGCUUGCAUUUGGGUCUUAGUAGAUGUUAUGUUGGAGGUUGGAUGAUCAUGCCUUUGCUUUCUUUAAUUAGCUUUUCUUCAUUAAGUUGCAAUUGGGGGAAAAUUUGAUGAUUUGGUGGAUUCCAAUUGUUUUUGUUUAUAUCUUAUAACUAAAUUGGUGCGUUAAUCCUUUGCUUUGAAUGGUUUUAGCACAUGUUAUCCGUUAGUUGGUGACUAGCCCAGUUUAAGUCUCGUCCAUUUAACACUACAAAAGGGAGCGGUAUAAUUCCUUUUAUCUUUUUUUGUUUCUCUUAUGUGACUCAACGUGCUAAGUGAAUUGCAUGUCUACUUUGCUUUCUUAGCUUUUCUUUAAUUCCUUUUACUUAUGUCAUUUACUUUUUGUUUUCAUUAAGUUAUUCUUUAAUGGGGUAUGUGUACACCUCUUGGCUUGUAAUAGAUAGGGCUGUGGCGAGCAAUUUGGUCCAUUUUCCCCUUCCUUUUUGUUUUAGUUAGUGAAUGUAAUAGGUUCAUUAGUUUGGUUGCAUGCCUACGUGUUAAGUGUUUAAUCGCUUUAUUAGGUCCUUGCAUCUAGUCAAGCAUGCUAAGUGUUAUGUGCUACGUGUUUAUAAGUGAUUCGCAUGUCUACUCGCUUUUUUAUAGUGUGGAUGAAUGGAAUGGAUGAAUGUACGUCACCACACUAGUCCAACGCUAGUUGUGGCUUCUUUUAUCGUUUCCACUAGUCCAACGCUAGUCGGAAUUCAUAGAAUGGGCUAGUCCAACGCUAGACCCUUAGGGUUUUUCCCUUGUUAGUACAUCAUUUGCUUGUUCACCACAUAUCACGCAUUUUCCUUAGUUUUAUCAUUUGACAUGAGCUCGAACCCUUUUCCCCUCACUUUAGGUUUUGCAUCUCAUGCUAGCUAUAGGGUUCAUUUUGCUUGAGUGUCCCCUUCCGAUAAGGAAAACGAGCGAGUGUGGCUACUCGAUAGCCUUAGCACGCUAGUUUUGCCUUCUAAUCAAAGGGAAAAUAGAAGUCGAAAAGUUAGGAGUCAACCCCGUACCCGACUUGUUGCAUUCCCCUAGGGUCAUACUUUCAUUUUUAUCACUACAUACUCUUUUAACCACAUUUUUCACAUUUCUCAAAUCAUACUUUCUCACUACAUUUUUCCUAUCACGUGAUCAUUUUCACCUCACAAAUGGAAUUCCACUUUACCUUAUAUAUCUAUUAUUCUAUUUUCACACACUUGCACACAAAAAACACUUGAAUUUUAUACAAUUUCACACAUGCACCUUUUAUACAUUCGCACACUUGCACUUACAUUUCUUGCAUCUUUCAUAUACUUUCACACUUGCACACUUGAAUUUGAACUCUCAUUGCAUUAAUCGACCUCUAUGAGGUUUUCCUUUGUUGGCCGCCACAAUUCAUGUGGUUUGGGACCAAAAGCCUCACAAGAGACAUCGUAGAAUUUAGGAUUGCAUUUUCCUUUCCGUUUUGCAUUCAUAUAGUCAUAUCCAACGUGCGAUACAUACAUUGGGUAGAAGAUUAGGAAAGGUAAGGUUAAGUCGCGCAACUAGCCUUGGCUAGGUCAAAGGGGUGCCUUGGAUUCUAUCCUUGCCUUCCCCUUUGUCAAACGUGACUCCCGAACCUUUUUCUUUGGCUUACGUGGACUAGGAGUCGUUUUUAAAAGGGUUUUACUACUUUGUCUUUAAAAAUAUUUUUUAGGUGACUUGGUACAUUAAUCAUUACCAAGUGGCGACUCCAAUUUCUCAUUCAAAAACCCUUUUUAAAAACUAUUUUUUGGGUCAAAUCGUCGCUUUUUCAAGUCCCAUAUUAGACCCAUAUCUUUUUCAACUCACAAAAAUCAUUUUCCAAUCAAAAUUGAAUCAAAAAACAUCUUUCUCAAACCAUUUAUUUUUAUUUAUCAAAAAAUGGGGCGCGACAGUUGGCGACUCCACUGGGGACUUCCUAAGUGGGUCCAAGCAUUUUUGACUUAACCAUUUGUUUCCUUUUUCUACCCUUUCUAUGCAUGGCAUGUGGAUAUUAGGAUGGCAUUUUUCAUUUUUAGGACCUUUUGUCUUAUAUACGUAAUCAAACCAAUCCCUCGACUCACGAAUGUAUGUUUGAAUGAAUGUUUAUUGUUAUCUCGCGCUGCAUUGCAUUUUGGGAGGUAUGGGUCACCCUAGAGCCUCGCGUUGGUUCUUGACCCUUCCCCUCCAAACGAGCACCUAGCAUACGAGCAUACGCUUUACUUUUUAUCCCUUUUAUUUUUCUUUAGUGGCUUGUCACGCCACUCUACCCUACUAGGAUUAGGAGACCCACUUGAACAUGUGAUCACGACACAGUGUGCGUAGCAUGAUCCAAUGGGUCACUCAAUCUUCCGCUUUAAGCUAUGGUUGAUAGCCUUUAGCUUUUAGUCGAAGGUUGGGGAUUUUGAUAGAUUCACUCAAACACGUAGCCGUGACACGAUGUGUGCGUAGCGGUGUUUGGGGAAUCGCUCGAGCCACCGACAAAGAACCUUGGGAUUGAUGACCCUUGGUUUCUAAGUCUGAAGGCUCGGGGGCCUAUAACCUAUCGAGUCUAGAUGCAUUAGUAAACCAAGCCUCAUGCAUCCAUAUUAGAAUUGCCUAGGGUAGAGUCGGUCUUAUCCUAAAACUAGGGACACUAUUCACGAGGGAGGGGUCCCAACCCUCUUUCCUUAUUUAUCUUUAUUGCCUUUUAUAUUAUCUAAUUGUCCAAAUGUGUUAUGUGAUUAUGUGUUGAGCUCACGUUUCCUUGUCUUUUGUCUUUUGCAUUCACAAACAUUAAGAGAUAAAAGGUCUGGCAUGACCUUCUUUUAGGACCUACCCUUGUAGAUAGGCUAUUGCACGUUUGACAAAUUAUGAUUUAUUUUGUUCAUAAAUUCAUAAUGCCAUACCAUUUUAGGCCUACCCUGGCAAAAUAAAGGGUUCCUUAGGUCACGUUUCAUUUCAAAUUGCAUAUUUUAUUUUUAAUAAAAUGGCAUCAUGCAUAAACCCUAGAAAGGGAACGCCACGUAGGGAAUCCCGUUUUAGGAAUAAAACCAACCUUUUUGUGUCCCAUGGGUAUUUAACCCUUCAAGAGACUGCACGUUUAAGUUAUCGCAUAACUGGAGGAAUGAGACUCGUAGGUAAGGUAAUUGACAAACUACCUUCUUCAUUAUCAGAUGGCCCCCGCCGCAUCUACCAAUUGUUAAUACCGUCAACUGAGGUUCAACAAUGGCCCACCUUCAUGUUACCUAGUGAACUGAAUCAAGUAGCCCAAUUUUUAGGAUCAAUUGGAGACUUUAAGCAGAUCAAAUCCAACAAUUAUUUGGUAGAGGCUUUAGUUCAUCUUUGGGACCCCGAGUGUACUGCUUUUAGAAUAGGCAAUAGGCAAAUGACUAUAACACUCGAAGAAGUAGCUGGCCUCCUUGGUUUACCCACACGUGGAACUGCCUUGGUGUUUCCAUUUGCUUCCGACAAGGCCGAAUUUUGUCAAAUUAUAGGAUUGAAAGAGUUCGUGCUACGAGGGUCAGAUCAGGGCGUCGCCGUGAAUAUUCUGUUUGAACGAUUUGCGCCACGCGAUGGAUUCGAGAGGCAUGUGACGGAUUUUGUGUUCACUUCCAAAGCCGUAUGGAGCGCAAGAGGCUACUAGUAUAUGGGGUAGUUAUGGCUGGGACCUAUCUCUUUCCGCGAAAAGAUCAAAAGAUAGCUUUAAAUCAGCAAAAAUUGUGAAUGACCUUUUCUUAGGAAUUCAGGGUAAGCAAUGUUCUAUAGUCCCGACCAUUCUCGCAGAUAUUUUCUUAGCUUGUACUGGUUGUCGAAAGGGAGAAAAGUUUUUCCAUGGGGCGAACUUGGUUUUAUACAUAUGAGCUACGGGACAUUUUAAGAGACAAGCAUCAGUUGCCGAUAGUUUGCCGGUGGUUGGAUAUAAUUGGGUAGUCACACAUCCCAAAAGAGUCAACGAGGGAGAUCUACCAAAGAACGCAUCCAAAUGUGUGGACUACUUGGAAACAUUGCAAGAUUUCAACAUUAGGUGGGUAUUAGAUUGGACAGACUGCUUUGAGCCGAUACUUCGCACUAAGGAAUCCGAACGUGUUCUCUUGCUGGGUACUCAAGGAAUCAUCUCAUAUACCCCGAAGAGAUUUCUCAGACAACUAGGUCGCAUUCAGGGCCGCCACCGAUUUCCGAGUUUAGUGAAGUCACCAUUUUCUUUGAUCAGGGGGUAUGCCCAAAAGAGUCCCUAUGAAGAGCCAAAUCACUGAAUCUUGGAGAACAAUAUCCGACGAUAGAAGCAUUCGUUAUCUUCCGGAGCUCAAACAGAAGGGGUAAUGACCGCACCAUACGAGGAUUGGUUGAAAGAUUCCACCACACAAGGGCUGCAACAUGAGCCGUAUGAGGAAAUUGAGAAGCUGAGAGCCAUCAUUAAAGCCAAGGACAUGGAGGUGGUACAGUUGAAGAAAUCCAUCGAAGCGCACAAAGGAAAGGCAGAAGAAAACAAGAGGUUAUAUGAGAAGGAGCGAGAAAGGCGCCAAGAGAUGAAGCGGAAAUGUGGGGAAUUAUAUGAUCAAGCCGAACGUGUCAAGAUACCAUAUGCUAGAGAAAGUAAAGACUCUGUACUAGAUAGGCUUAGGAACUUUGGUGAUCUUGUACGAAAUCGCCUUCGCGAUAUGAUGUAAACAGAUGUAUCUGGUUUCUGCAAUGAAAUGAAUCUCUUCCCUUUUCACAAAGUAUUUGUCAAAUAACAGGUUUGAUUAACGGGUCUCAUUCCGAAAGUGUUGCAUCAUGCUAGGCCUACCCUUGGCACAAAAAGGGCCCCCCAUAGGACAUGCAUCCGAAUUGUUCGAAUAGUUACUAACUCAUGUCUUUUCUUUUUCUUUUUCUUUUUUUUGAAUAAAUUGCAGAAAUUCAGUAAUCAUUGGUUUAUCUAAAGAAGUCUUUUGCAUUCUCAGGUAAAUUUCAAAAUAGCUUUUCGGAAAAGCCCCAUUAUUACGCGAUCUCGAAGUAAAGCCCAAGAGAAUCGUGUAAACAUGAGUACUAAGCCUCAAUCAUCUGAUAAGACCAUCGCAACUACUCAGCCGGAAGCCACAAGUCCUGGAAUUCAGUUGGCCGAACUACUUACCAAGUUUGAGGAAAUGGCAUCUACAA
rnacentral:lncRNA from 1 species